AAAACCGACUUUUCUUCCUUGUCAUAUUUUCCGUGACAAAUUCCUACAAGAGUAGUUUUCCUUAAAUCAGGAGAUAUUCUAGAACAGCAACCUUUUUUAGUGCAGUAACGCUAAUCAGCUGUUAAUUGGAAGGAUAAUGACACUGUUUUUGAUCUACAUCUUGUUUGUUUUGAUGCCGAUGAUCUUGAACCAGGUAUACGUAGACGCUUCUAACGGACUUCAGUGUAUUGAAUGUGAUGAUUUUCGAAAGGAGCGAUUCUGUCGUGAAAGUAUUGGUGAUAAUGGCCUUUCUUCAUUUACUGCAUUUACAGCCACGUCAAAUGGAAAACAUGUAAAAUGGUUAAAAGGAGAUAUAAUAAAAUACAGCCGUAUCCUCACUAAUAUUGGAAACCGUUACGAUCCCUCUACGGGUAUUUUCACUGUUGAAACGCCUGGUGUUUACUCGGUGUCUACUUCUAUGAUCGGCGGCAUUCAUCAAUGCACUCUUGCUACUCUUAGAAAGAAUGGAAAGGUUUUAGUGUGGCUAUACACUGGGCCUAAAUGGGAUAUGGCAUCUCAAACUAUCUACAUUGCAAUGGUGAAAGGAGACAAGAUUUGGGUACAAAUGCAAUCCAAUUUCCUUAAACUUAAUGUUAAUCAUAUCUAUAAUCAUUUAAGCGCAGUUCUGAUAAAGCCGGGAAAAUUUUGAAAAAAAAUUAUUAAAAGCAGUGCUAUUAAAUUGAUAGUAUCAAUGUUAAGACUUUUUUGUUUUAACGAUUUAUAUGCUAUAUUAAACGCAGUAGGUCUGUUGUUUCAGUGGUUUAUGUGCCUUAUUAUACUUGAUGAAUCUUAACAAGCAUUAUGUUUACCUGUUGUUCAUAAUAUUAUAUUUGUACUAAACCGAUAUGUUUAGUUGUAUUUUUAAAAAAUGUUUACGAUGUCCCAAUUUACAGGCACUUGUAACAAGUACGUUACAACAUUAGUCAAAGCUACUACAUGAGACGCGUUAUUGUAACCCUUUGGUAUUCAUCCUUAAAGACAUUUCUGAAGUCUCAUUUUGAAAACCGGACUCUAAUUUGUAAAACAUUUGUAAACUAAACUUGAUAUUUUUGUUAAUAAGAGGAAAGUUUCAAU